rnacentral:rRNA from 1 species
UUGCCCUACGGGGGGCAGCAGUGAGGAAUAUUGGUCAAUGGGCGCGAGCCUGAACCAGCCAAGUCGCGUGAGGGAAGACGGUCCUAUGGGUCGUAAACCUCUUUUGUCAGGGAGCAAGGUCGUCCACGUGUGGGCGUAUGGAGAGUACCUGAAGAAAAAGCAUCGGCUAACUCCGUGCCAGCAGCCGCGGUAAUACGGAGGAUGCGAGCGUUAUCCGGAUUUAUUGGGUUUAAAGGGUGCGUAGGCGGGACCUUAAGUCAGCGGUAAAAUUGCGGUGCUCAACGCCGUAGAGCCGUUGAAACUGG